rnacentral:rRNA from 1 species
AUUGAACGCUGGCGGCAGGCCUAACACAUGCAAGUCGAGCGGAUGAAGGGAGCUUGCUCCUGGAUUCAGCGGCGGACGGGUGAGUAAUGCCUAGGAAUCUGCCUGGUUGUUUGGGAUAACGUCCGGAAACGGGCGCUAAUACCGCAUACGUCCUGAGGUCGAAAGUGUGGGAUCUUCGGACCUCACGCUAUCAGAUGAGCCUAGGUCGGAUUAGCUAGUUGGUGGGGUAAAGGCCUACCAAGGCGACGAUCCGUAACUGGUCUGAGAGGAUGAUCAGUCACACUGGAACUGAGACACGGUCCAGACUCCUACGGGAGGCAGCAGUGGGGAAUAUUGGACAAUGGGCGAAAGCCUGAUCCAGCCAUGCCGCGUGUGUGAAGAAGGUCUUCGGAUUGUAAAGCACUUUAAGUUGGAAGGAAGGGCAGUAAGUUAAUACCUUGCUGUUUUGACGUUACCAAAAGAAUAAGCACCGGCUAACUUCGUG